GGUCAAGCGAAUAAGCGCACACGGUGGAUGCCUUGGCGGUCAGAGGCGAUGAAGGACGUGGCAGCCUGCGAAAAGUGCGGGGGAGCUGGCAACAAGCAUUGAUCCCGCAAUGUCCGAAUGGGGAAACCCACUGCUUCGGCAGUAUCCUGCAGUGAAUACAUAGCUGCUGGAGGCAAACCCGGUGAACUGAAAUAUCUAAGUAACCGGAGGAAAAGAAAUCAACCGAGAUUCCCUGAGUAGUGACGAGCGAACGGGGACCAGCCCUUAAGCUGGAUUGGUUUUAGAAGAACAGUCUGGAAAGACUGGCCAUAGACGGUGACAGCCCGGUAUUCGAAAAGACCUUUUCAGUGAAGACGAGUAAGGCGGGGCACGAGAAACCCUGUCUGAACAUGGGGGGACCAUCCUCCAAGGCUAAAUACUCCUGACCGACCGAUAGUGAACCAGUACCGUGAGGGAAAGGCGAAAAGAACCCCGGAGAGGGGAGUGAAAGUGAAAAGCUAAUCGAACCCGGAGAUAGCUGGUUCUCCUCGAAAGCUAUUUAGGUAGCGCCUCGUAUGAAUCUUCUUGGGGGUAGAGCACUGUUAUGGCUAGCGGGACAUCGCGUCUUAGCAAACCAUGGCAAACUCCGAAUACCAAGACAGAAUGUACGGGAGACACACGGCGGGUGCUAACGUCCGUCGUGAAAAGGGAAACAACCCAGACCCACAGCUAAGGUCCCAAAUUUCGUGCUAAGUGGAAAACGAUGUGGAAAGGCACAGACAGCCAGGAGGUUGGCUUAGAAGCAGCCACCCUUUAAAGAAAGCGUAAUAGCUCACUGGUCGAGUCGGUCUGCGCGGAAGAUUUAACGGGGCUAAGCACGAAACCGAAGCUUGGGGUGCAUAACUUUGUUAUGCGCGGUAGAGGAGCGUUCCGUAAGCCUGCGAAGGUGGCUUGAGAAGGCUGCUGGAGGUAUCGGAAGUGCGAAUGCUGACAUGAGUAACGAUAAUGCGGGUGAAAAGCCCGCACGCCGAAAGCCCAAGGUUUCCUUGCGCAACGUUAAUCGACGCAGGGUUAGUCGGUCCCUAAGGCGAGGGCGAAAGCCGUAGUCGAUGGGAAGCAGGUUAAUAUUCCUGCACCUCGCGUGAGUGCGAUGGAGGGACGGAGAAGGUUAGGUGUACCGGGCGUUGGUUGUCCCGGGGAAAGGCGGUAGGUUUGGAUCUUUGGCAAAUCCGGGAUCCUUUAAGACCGAGCACCGAGACGAGCCCUUUAGGGCGAAGUCACUGAUACCACGCUUCCAGGAAAAGCUCCUAAGCUUCAGCUCACGCAGACCGUACCGUAAACCGACACAGGUGGGUAGGAUGAGAAUUCUCAGGCGCUUGAGAGAACUCGGGUGAAGGAACUAGGCAACAUGGCACCGUAACUUCGGGAGAAGGUGCACCCUCUUUGGUGGCCCAUGCGGGCUAUAGCUGAGGGGGGUCGCAGAAACCAGGCCGCUGCGACUGUUUAUCAAAAACACAGCACUCUGCAAACACGAAAGUGGACGUAUAGGGUGUGACGCCUGCCCGGUGCUGGAAGGUUAAUUGAUGGGGUCAGCCGCAAGGCGAAGCUCUUGAUCGAAGCCCCAGUAAACGGCGGCCGUAACUAUAACGGUCCUAAGGUAGCGAAAUUCCUUGUCGGGUAAGUUCCGACCUGCACGAAUGGCGUAACGAAAAUACCACCCUGAUGUGCUUGACGUUCUAACCUAGGUCCGUAAUCCGGAUCGGGGACCAUGUAUGGUGGGUAGUUUGACUGGGGCGGUCUCCUCCCAAAGAGUAACGGAGGAGCUCGAAGGUACGCUCAGCGCGGUCGGACAUCGCGCACUGUGUGCAAAGGCAUAAGCGUGCUUGACUGCGAGAUCGACGGAUCAAGCAGGUACGAAAGUAGGACUUAGUGAUCCGGUGGUUCUGUAUGGAAGGGCCAUCGCUCAACGGAUAAAAGGUACUCCGGGGAUAACAGGCUGAUACCGCCCAAGAGUUCAUAUCGAC
rnacentral:rRNA from 1 species